ACGCCCACCCUAUCACUUCCACAAUUGUCAGGAAUGGCUUGGAGUUUGAUUUUAUAAUAUUUUUGCCAGUAUGCCAAAAACAUGUUGAAAUUUCUCAGUCACACUCACUCCCACUAGUUUACUCAUCAUUAUGCUAACAACGUCCUUGUGCCUGAAGAACCAUCCGACUAAUGCACUUGAACACUUCUUUUGGAUCCCCUUUGCCUGGAGUGUCAGCUGUCAGCUAAAAACGAACUGCGCGUUAUUUGCAUACUCAUUAAAUGGUGAACGCCGCAACAAGCCUUAUUACGAUUGGAACACAAUAAGAAGUGGCCUAUAAUCAUAAAGAAAGCAAGUAAUUCACUGCCUCGGGUUCCGGGCCAGGAUGUGUAUCGUUGGCCAGGGCUAGCAACAAAGGAGUGCACCAAGUUGGGACAGGCCGAGAUGUCGGAAAUUAAGUGCGUGCUCUGUCCCGCGCCGAGGAAAAGUUAAGACGGAAGAUUUGAAGCCGCGGUCUUCCAAGAAUGCUCCUUGCUCGCAAUCAAUCGAUGUUGGAUGUCGUAACCGAAUAAUGCUUUAAACUGCCCAGUGGCAGGUUUUUUCGUUAUCCCAGGCCGCGGGUAGCGGUAAUGUGAAAGCACGCCCCUUACAUAAAUGGAUUCGAGCCAAUACCAAAUAUUUCGGGAUGUGGGCCAACUUUGCAAGUUUGAAGUCAAUUUAGCGGAAUGUUGCCGGGACGAAAUAUGUGGGCUCCAGUGCUUACACGUGGGUAGACCUUGAAUAUUUGCGUUAUUUUCCGAGAGGCCAGAAAGUUGUGCGACUGGCACAUGUGCGCUGGCAGAAUACUCGACGACUCUAAACUGUCUGGCUCUUUGCAUAUCUAGCCCAAUUGACUUUUAAUGGCUCUAUGGUGAUGCGAUGCGGCUGGAACAACAAACACAAGUUCGACUGCUUUUCGGAAAGCUAAAAGGGUUGGAAAAUAUUGAAGUAUGUGUAUGUAGCUUUUGGGUGAUAUAAAAAAGAAAGCCUCUUACUCAACCACCUCCUUUGUUUUUGGAAUUUCUCGGCAUGGCUUCCAUUAUUUUUGCCCAAAAGUUGCUUGGGAUGCCUGAAAUAAGCUUGGAAGUCUUUUUCAAGUAAAUCCCAUUAAUGCCUAACACGAAAACGUCUUGACUAAUUACUUUUCAUUUGAUUUUCGAUGACGCGCACGACAGGUGACGAGGGCACUGUUUUGUAAAUACG